rnacentral:tRNA from 1 species
GCGCCUGUGGCGAAAUUGGCAGACGCGCUGGAGUUAGGUUCCAGUGAGUGAUCGUGCAGGUUCAAGUCCUGUCAGGCGUACCA